rnacentral:piRNA from 1 species
UGGAAGAUUUCUCGCUGAUGUUGGAAGUC